rnacentral:rRNA from 1 species
AUUGAACGCUGGCGGCAGGCCUAACACAUGCAAGUCGAACGGUAACAGGAAGAAGCUUGCUUCUUUGCUGACGAGUGGCGGACGGGUGAGUAAUGUCUGGGAAACUGCCUGAUGGAGGGGGAUAACUACUGGAAACGGUAGCUAAUACCGCAUAACGUCGCAAGACCAAAGAGGGGGACCUUCGGGCCUCUUGCCAUCGGAUGUGCCCAGAUGGGAUUAGCUAGUAGGUGGGGUAACGGCUCACCUAGGCGACGAUCCCUAGCUGGUCUGAGAGGAUGACCAGCCACACUGGAACUGAGACACGGUCCAGACUCCUACGGGAGGCAGCAGUGGGGAAUAUUGCACAAUGGGCGCAAGCCUGAUGCAGCCAUGCCGCGUGUAUGAAGAAGGCCUUCGGGCUGUAAAGUACUUUCAGCGGGGAGGAAGGGAGUAAAGUUAAUACCUUUGCUCAUUGACGUUACCCGCAGAAGAAGCACCGGCUAACUCCGUGCCAGCAGCCGCGGUAAUACGGAGGGUGCAAGCGUUAAUCGGAAUUACUGGGCGUAAAGCGCACGCAGGCGGUUUGUUAAGUCAGAUGUGAAAUCCCCGGGCUCAACCUGGGAACUGCAUCUGAUACUGGCAAGCUUGAGUCUCGUAGAGGGGGGUAGAAUUCCAGGUGUAGCGGUGAAAUGCGUAGAGAUCUGGAGGAAUACCGGUGGCGAAGGCGGCCCCCUGGACGAAGACUGACGCUCAGGUGCGAAAGCGUGGGGAGCAAACAGG